rnacentral:rRNA from 1 species
AGUGGGGGAUAACGUAGCGAAGGUUACGCUAAUACCGCAUAUGCCCUGAGGGGGAAAGGUGGGGAUCGUAAGACCUAUCGCUUUCGGAGUGGCCGAUAUCAGAUUAGCUAGUUGGUGGGGUAAAGGCCUACCAAGGCGACGAUCUGUAGCUGGUCUGAGAGGACGACCAGCCACACUGGGACUGAGACACGGCCCAGACUCCUACGGGAGGCAGCAGUGGGGAAUUUUGGACAAUGGGGGCAACCCUGAUCCAGCCAUGCCGCGUGAGUGAAGAAGGCCUUCGGGUUGUAAAGCUCUUUCGGACGGAAAGAAAUCGCCAUUUCUAAUACAAGUGGUGGAUGACGGUACCGUCAUAAGAAGCACCGGCUAACUACGUGCCAGCAGCCGCGGUAAUACGUAGGGUGCGAGCGUUAAUCGGAAUUACUGGGCGUAAAGCGUGCGCAGGCGGUUUUGUAAGACAGGUGUGAAAUCCCCGGGCUUAACCUGGGAACUGCAUUUGUGACUGCAAGGCUAGAGUGUGGCAGAGGGGGGUAGAAUUCCA